UACGGGGGGGAGCAAGCGUUGUUCGGAUUUACUGGGCGUAAAGGGCGCGUAGGCGGUCGUGACAAGUCACUUGUGAAAUCUCCGGGCUUAACUCGGAACGGUCAAGUGAUACUGUCGGACUAGAGUACAAGAAGGGGCAACUGGAAUUCUCGGUGUAGCGGUGAAAUGCGUAGAUAUCGAGAGGAACACCUGCGGCGAAGGCGGGUUGCUGGGCUGAUACUGACGC
rnacentral:rRNA from 1 species